rnacentral:rRNA from 1 species
AGCAGCCGCGGUAAUUCCAGCUCCAAUAGCGUAUAUUAAAGUUGUUGCAGUUAAAAAGCUCGUAGUUGAAUUUCGGGAUCGAUACGUCGGUCGUGCCUUCGGUACGCACUGGCGUUUAUCGAUUUCUCCCUUCUGACGAACCAUGAUGUCAUUAAUUUGGUGUUAUGGGGAAUCAGGACUGUUACUUUGAAAAAAUUAGAGUGUUUAAAGCAGGCUUACGCUUGAAUACAUUAGCAUGGAAUAAUGAAAUAGGACAUCAGAUUCUAUUUUGUUGGUUUCUAGGAUCGAUGUAAUGAUUAAUAGGGAUAGUUGGGGGCAUUAGUAUUCAAUUGUCAGAGGUGAAAUUCUUGGAUUUAUUGAAGACUAACUACUGCGAAAGCAUUUGCCAAGGAUGUUUUCAUUAAUUCAAGAACGAAAGUUAGGGGAUCGAGACGAUCAGAUACGUCGUAGUCUUAACCAUAAACUAUGCCGACUAGGGAUCGGAUGAUGUUAUUUUAUAAU